UACGGGAGGCAGCAGUGGGGAAUAUUGGACAAUGGGCGAAAGCCUGAUCCAGCCAUGCCGCGUGAGUGAUGAAGGCCUUAGGGUUGUAAAGCUCUUUCAUCCGUGAAGAUAAUGACGGUACCUGUAGAAGAAGCCCCGGCUAAGUUC
rnacentral:rRNA from 1 species